UACGGAAGGGGCAAGCGUUGUUCGGAAUUAUUGGGCGUAAAGGGCGCGCAGGUGGCUCUAUGUGUCUGCUGUAAAAGCACACGGCUCAACCGUGUCGGGUCGGUGGAAACUGUAGAGCUUGAGGCUGGGAGGGGCUAGUGGAAUUUCCAGUGUAGAGGUGAAAUUCGUAGAUAUUGGAAAGAACACCGGUGGCGAAGGCGGCGACCUGGUCCUUGACUGACGCUGAGGCGCGAAAGCGUGGGGAGCAAACAGG
rnacentral:rRNA from 1 species